GUCCAGGGUAGUCUAGUGGACAUGGCAUCUGCCCGGUAAGCGGAACAAUUCGAUUCCUUUCGAUUUCAAUUCGAUUCGGUUCGAUUCCCAUCCCUGGACA